GACCGCGUAACUCAGUUGGCAGAGCAUUGGGCUAGUAUCCCAAAGGUCGUAGGUUCGAUUCCCACCGUGGCCA
rnacentral:tRNA from 1 species